rnacentral:rRNA from 1 species
AUUGAACGCUGGCGGCAGGCCUAACACAUGCAAGUCGAACGAGUGGCGGACGGGUGAGUAAUGUCUGGGAAACUGCCCGAUGGAGGGGGAUAACUCCUGGAAACGGUAGCUAAUACCGCAUACCAUCGGAUGUGCCCAGAUGGGAUUAGUUAGUAGGUGGGGUAACGGCUCACCUAGGCGACGAUCCCUAGCUGGUCUGAGAGGAUGACCAGCCACACUGGAACUGAGACACGGUCCAGAGUCCUACGGGAGGCAGCAGUGGGGAAUAUUGCACAAUGGGCGCAAGCCUGAUGCAGCAAUGCCGCGUGUAUGAAGAAGGCCGUCGGGUUGUAAAGUACUUGCAGCGAGGAGGCGUUACUCGCAGAAGAAGCACCGGCUAACUCCGUGCCAGAAGCCGCGGUAAUUC